GCUCAGAUGCCUGUGGAGGGUCAGAGGUUGAUGAUCUGUAUCUUCCUCAAUUGCUCCUGACUUUGUGUGAUGAGGGAAAGGCUCCUACAGAUCCCAGAGCAGCCAGUCAGCUCCCUUAGCCAGGAAGUUUCCUCUGAGAGUCCUUAUCUCUGAGUCCCCAGGCCUAGGAUUACAGCUAGGCCCCACAGGCCUAGAGUUUACGAGGGCAACGACUCUCAGCCUCCUCACCUUUUUAAAGCAAGCGCGUCACCCACUGAACCACCUGGCCAGCACCACCCACUACUGUUUUGUUUCUGAUUUUGUUUUGUUUUAAGGCAGGAUCUCUGUGUGGUACAGCCUGGCCUGGGACACUCAGUUUUCUCGCCUCGACUGAGGUCAUAUAGAAGGAUAAUGACACGUCUGUCACCGCGUGAAGCUCCACUAGGUCUCAGUCUUGCAUCUGCCGCCGUCGCCAUCCCGCCAACCCCAGGCACACAGUCUGGGCGCAGUGUCUACCGCUGAACAAGACUGAAUCAGCUCCAAACUUCCUCCUUGUUCGGCCCUUCACAUCUGGAACGUCGUAAUCCGACUGCCAGGCCACGGCACCUGAACUGUGACAACCGGUAAACCACAGACUUGGAGAGAGGAGACGACAGUCCCUGAGGAUGGCUCCAAGCAUAAAUGUUUGCUGAACCAAAGAUUGAACGCAAGUUAUCCCUCUGUUGAUGUGAGGGAGUCAAAGAAGCAGAGAUAGCCCCGCCCCGCCAAGCCCCACCCCCAGCCCCACCCAGUCCCACAAUCCUCUUAUCUCCAUGAGCCAGCCGCCAUGGCGAUACCUGCCUGCCCACACCCACACAAAACAAAAUUAAUUCUUCUUUUUUUUAAAGGUUGUAACUUCAGGCAAAGAUGUGCUAACGCAGCCUCGAAUGUGCAGGCCUCUGCCUCAACUGCAGCAUAGAAAAGUUGUCUUUCAACCCAGAAGCUACUCAGCAGGGAAGAGGGUCAGAAGUCAGGGUCAUCCUGGCUACUUAGUUAAUUUGCGGCCAGGCUGAGCUCCGUGCAGCCAGUCUCCCAGCAACAAAGCCAAAGCAGGGUAGGACAGUUAGGAAAUGUGACCGGACGGGACUGGAGAGAUGGCUGGGCAGUUCAGCGCACUGGCUGCCCUUCCAAAACAAUCCAGGUCCAGUUCCCAGAGCAUACACGGUGGUUCACAACCACCUCACGACUCAUGUUCAAGGGGAUUCAACACACUCUCCUCGCCUUCUCCGGCACCAGACAUCGUGGUACACAUAGAUACACUCGGGCAAAACAUAACAAAAACAAAAGCCUAUUAAGAAAAGCACCAGGGCUGCAGAGAUGGCUCAGCCGGUAAAGGCUAGACUCACAACCGAAAAUAAAAGAAAAAAACAGUGUAUAAGAGAAACCAGCGCCGGUGUGCUGGUCCUGCAAACCACAGUGUCUUGGAGACCUCUGUGUACUGAAGGGACAGUCUUUACCCAGCUGUUCACCUGCCCCUCCCCUCUAUAGCCCCAUUCCUGCCAGCCACUCAAGCAGGGUGCCCCAAGGUGAACCCCCAGCUCUGGACGCUUCCUCUAAUUCACACCAGGCGCUAGGAGGAAGAACAGCAGAAAUGAUACCCGGGUGGCUACGAACCCAGAGGCAGCCAGGGGCAAGCGGGGUUCUGUGCUGGUGGGUUCCUGAGUUCCCUUGGUGACACAGAUGAGAGCCCUGGGUGGAGGAAGAUGUGAAAAGUGAAGCCCUGUGCACAUGUGUGCCCGUGUGCUCAUGGAGGGACAUGGAUGUGUAUGUAUGUGUUUGAUGUGUGUAGGGGGAGGAGUACUGCAUGUUCCUGCUUGUAAAUAUGUUGGUGUCUCCACUUGUGUCUUUGUGUCUGUGAGUCUGAGGGUGACACCUCCCACCAACUGGUACACGUGGGAACCAUGAGAAGGAGCCAUUUUUGUAACCUGGUUGGUGUGUCGGCAGACAGGCAAGUGGGCUUGGGUGAGGUUGUGGGAGCCAUAUUUGGUUUUGCUGGUGGUGGUGCUGCUGCUGCUUGAGACAGCCUCGUGCUAUAGCGCGUCUCUUGUCUCCUGAGGGCCAGGAUUAAAGGUGUAUGCCACUAGGCCUGACCUUGAAGCGGUGCAUUUGGUGGUGUUUAUGCCUUUUUGGGUUGUGGGGUGGGGUCUAUAGGCCAGAGAUGGACAUCAAGUGACAAUCAUUCCCCACCUUUAUUUUUUUGAGACUGACAGCGUCUCUCACUAAACCUGAAGCAAACCGGCUGGCCAGGCAAUGACCUUCGGGGACGCCCCAACUCUGCUGUUUCCCUGGUGUUGGUACCCAGACACACAGCACCAACAUGCCUAGCUUUUAAGGGGCUUGCAGGAGACAAAGCCCAGAGACGAGGCAUGUGGGGUGUGCCUAGAGUGUUCAGGGGAGGUUCCCUCGCCUCCCUUUGCCAGCUGCUCAUUAUUUAUCCCUAAACUGGAGACAAGAUAAAGCCCUCUUCUCACCUGGGUAUGCCAACUCUGAUGUCACGGCCAGUAGGUGUAUCUCAGUCAUCCUCCGGGGCGGCAGCUUCAGAAUGGGUCCCCUACCGUGUCCUGAAGAGAGAUGCCAAACUCCUUCAUGCCUUGGGGGAAGCACCAUGGAGGAAGGUGCUGCUUCUGUUGUGGGGAGAGCUGGUCCCCCAGACGUACCCCCCACCCCCACCCCCGCCUGCUGGGCCGGCACACCCUGACUCUCAGCAACCUCCCUGUUCAUUUCCCCUGUGCACUUCUGAUCCCACAUUAUCUGCUAAUUUGUUUCAUUUGCCUGCUUGUUUAUGGCCCUAACC